rnacentral:rRNA from 1 species
GAUGAACGCUGGCGGCGUGCCUAAUACAUGCAAGUCGAGCGAACAGAUAAGGAGCUUGCUCCUUUGACGUUAGCGGCGGACGGGUGAGUAACACGUGGGUAACCUACCUAUAAGACUGGGAUAACUUCGGGAAACCGGGGCUAAUACCGGAUAAUAUUUCGAACCGCAUGGUUCGAUAGUGAAAGAUGGUUUUGCUAUCACUUAUAGAUGGACCCGCGCCGUAUUAGCUAGUUGGUAAGGUAACGGCUUACCAAGGCGACGAUACGUAGCCGACCUGAGAGGGUGAUCGGCCACACUGGAACUGAGACACGGUCCAGACUCCUACAGGAGGCAGCAGUAGGGAAUCUUCCGCAAUGGGCGAAAGCCUGACGGAGCAACGCCGCGUGAGUGAUGAAGGUCUUCGGAUCGUAAAACUCUGUUAUUAGGGAAGAACAUACGUGUAAGUAACUGUGCACGUCUUGACGGUACCUAAUCAGAAAGCCACGGCUAACUACGUG